GCGGACGGGUGAGUAACACGUGGGUAACCUGCCCAAGAGACUGGGAUAGCACCUGGAAACAGAUGCUAAUACCGGAUAACAACACUAGACGCAUGUCUAGAGUUUGAAAGAUGGUUCUGCUAUCACUCUUGGAUGGACCUGCGGUGCAUUAGCUAGUUGGUAAGGUAACGGCUUACCAAGGCAAUGAUGCAUAGCCGAGUUGAGAGACUGAUCGGCCACAUUGGGACUGAGACACGGCCCAAACUCCUACGGGAGGCAGCAGUAGGGAAUCUUCCACAAUGGACGAAAGUCUGAUGGAGCAACGCCGCGUGAGUGAAGAAGGGUUUCGGCUCGUAAAGCUCUGUUGGUAGUGAAGAAAGAUAGAGGUAGUAACUGGCCUUUAUUUGACGGUAAUUACUUAGAAAGUCACGGCUAACUACGUGCCAGCAGCCGCGGUAAUACGUAGGUGGCAAGCGUUGUCCGGAUUUAUUGGGCGUAAAGCGAGUGCAGGCGGUUCAAUAAGUCUGAUGUGAAAGCCUUCGGCUCAACCGGAGAAUUGCAUCAGAAACUGUUGAACUUGAGUGCAGAAGAGGAGAGUGGAACUCCAUGUGUAGCGGUGGAAUGCGUAGAUAUAUGGAAGAACACCAGUGGCGAAGGCGGCUCUCUGGUCUGCAACUGACGCUGAGGCUCGAAAGCAUGGGUAGCGAACAGGAUUAGAUACCCUGGUAGUCCAUGCCGUAAACGAUGAGUGCUAAGUGUUG
rnacentral:rRNA from 1 species